rnacentral:rRNA from 2 species
ACGGGCGAGNAACGCGCGGGAACGUACCAUUUGCUACGGAAUAACUNAGGGAAACUUGUGCUAAUACCGUAUGUGCCCUUCGGGGGAAAGAUUUAUCGGCAAAUGAUCGGCCCGCGUUGGAUUAGCUAGUUGGUGGGGUAAAGGCCUACCAAGGCGACGAUCCAUAGCUGGUCUGAGAGGAUGAUCAGCCACACUGGGACUGAGACACGGCCCAGACUCCUACGGGAGGCAGCAGUGGGGAAUAUUGGACAAUGGGCGCAAGCCUGAUCCAGCCAUGCCGCGUGAGUGAUGAAGGCCCUAGGGUUGUAAAGCUCUUUCACCGGUGAAGAUAAUGACGGUAACCGGAGAAGAAGCCCCGGCUAACUUCGUGCCAGCAGCCGCGGUAAUACGAAGGGGGCUAGCGUUGUUCGGAUUUACUGGGCGUAAAGCGCACGUAGGCGGGCUAAUAAGUCAGGGGUGAAAUCCCGGGGCUCAACCCCGGAACUGCCUUUGAUACUGUUAGUCUUGAGUAUGGUAGAGGUGAGNGGAA